UACGUAGGGUGCAAGCGUUAAUCGGAAUUACUGGGCGUAAAGGGCUCGUAGGUGGCCAACUAAGUCAGACGUGAAAUCCCCAGGCUCAACUUGGGAACUGCGUCUGAUACUGGAUGGCUUGAAUCCGGGAGAGGGAUGCAGAAUUCCAGGUGUAGCGGUGAAAUGCGUAGAUAUCUGGAGGAAUACCGGUGGCGAAGGCGGCAUCCUGGACCGGGAUUGACACUGAGGAGCGAAAGCUAGGGGAGCAAACGGG
rnacentral:rRNA from 1 species